rnacentral:rRNA from 1 species
UGCCUAACACAUGCAAGUCGAACGAGACCUUCGGGUCUAGUGGCGCACGGGUGCGUAACGCGUGGGAAUCUGCCCUUGGGUUCGGAAUAACAGUUAGAAAUGACUGCUAAUACCGGAUAAUGUCUUCGGACCAAAGAUUUAUCGCCCAGGGAUGAGCCCGCGUAGGAUUAGCUAGUUGGUGAGGUAAAGGCUCACCAAGGCGACGAUCCUUAGCUGGUCUGAGAGGAUGAUCAGCCACACUGGGACUGAGACACGGCCCAGACUCCUACGGGAGGCAGCAGUGGGGAAUAUUGGACAAUGGGCGAAAGCCUGAUCCAGCAAUGCCGCGUGAGUGAUGAAGGCCUUAGGGUUGUAAAGCUCUUUUACCCGGGAUGAUAAUGACAGUACCGGGAGAAUAAGCCCCGGCUAACUCCGUG